GAUGAACGCUGGCGGCGUGCCUAAUACAUGCAAGUCGAGCGAACAGACGAGGAGCUUGCUCCUCUGAUGUUAGCGGCGGACGGGUGAGUAACACGUGGAUAACCUACCUAUAAGACUGGGAUAACUUCGGGAAACCGGAGCUAAUACCUGAUAACAUGUUGAACCGCAUGGUUCAACAGUGAAAGACGGUCUUGCUGUCACUUAUAGAUGGAUCCGCGCCGCAUUAGCUAGAUGGUAAGGUAACGGCUUACCAAGGCAACGAUGCGUAGACGACCUGCGAGGGUGAUCGGCCACACUGGAACAGAGACACGGUCCAGACUCCUACGGGAGGCAGCAGUAGGGAAUCUUCCGCAAUGGGCGAAAGCCUGACGGAGCAACGCCGCGUGAGUGAAGAAGGUCUUCGGAUCGUAAAACUCUGUUAUUAGAGAAGAACAAAUGUGUAAGUAACUAUGCACGUCUUGACGGUACCUAAUCAGAAAGCCACGGCUAACUACGGG
rnacentral:rRNA from 1 species